CUAUGCUGGUUUCUCUUUUCUGCUCUGCGGUCACGUGACUCCAUCUUCAGCGGCAGAGGGAGCAGCAGGCCUUGAGCCGUGAGAAGGAAAGCAUCAAUUUGCUAUUUCUUUCCACAGCAGCCCCGUGGGAAGCCACUUCUCAGAAUCUUAUCCAGGACACAGAAAGGAAAAAUGCAGUGACUUACAGAAUCUUCUCAGCUCAUCAGGAAAGGACAUUUCUGAAAUCUAAGCUGCCAUAACCACCACAGAGAGGACAAACCAUGAGGCUGUCAUUGUGUGUGAACUAGGAAACUGUUCAUUUAGAUAAAUGCCUGCUAUGGUCUCCAACAUGCCUGGGCACAAAGAUUAAGUCCUUAAUACAUUAAGAUACAUUAAUGGAAGCCAGCUAUCAUUAAGGUAAGUAUUAUGUAAAUGGUCUUGGUUCUCCCUAACCAAGAUAGAGAGUGGGGAAGAAAAAGAAAUAUUGGAGAAAAUCAGUCCUGGAUGUAAUAAGAAAGUCUAUAUCUUUGAAGUGUUUCAGAAUGGUGGGACCUGUCAGGUCGGUGAGGACUGUGUGCAGAAUGCCUCUGUGAGAAGGCAGACUAUGACAGGGUGUGCACCCUUCAUCCUUUCUCAACAUUUCUCUAUGUCACCAGGCACUGUAAUUAUACUAAUUGCAACCUUGAUGCUGUGGCCAUAGCACUUGACAUUCUUACCUCGUUGUCGAGUGUGUUUGUUAUCAGUGUUAAGUGUGGAGGGAAUUUGAGGCCCUUCUUGAGGCAUCACUGCUCUUCAGUUAAGCAUCCUCCAGCUGACAAUAAAAAUCAUACUUUGCCUUGUAAUAUGAUAUUCAAGAGCUGUGAGCAAAAUGAGUCUUUGUAAUCUUGAGAGGACUAAUGCCUUAAGCUUGCACACAAAUAAAAGAUGGAGAGGAUUAAAGUCAGGGAAUUUACCAGGCCACUCCAACCUUGUUUGAUGGGCAGGCACCUGAGAACCUGACUGCAUCAAAAUGCAAAACAAAUGCUCUUUGUUACCAGCAAUGAGGAGGACUCAGAUGUCAUUUCUGAGCUCCAAUAGGGGACAAAGAAAACAGCACACUGGGGAAUGCUAGGUCUCUUAUUUACGUCAUUCCUAACCAGAGAGAGAGAGAGAGAGAGAGAGAGAGAGAGAGAGAGAGAGAGAGA
rnacentral:sRNA from 1 species